GAGACCCACGCCAACAGUUGCCAGCAUGUCCUCCGGGAUGGUGGGGACACUGUUGGGACCGCCUCUGCUAAAGAGGAGGAAGGAAUGGGCAACGGUAGGUCAGCAUGCCCCGAAUUAUCCGGGCUACACGCGGGCUACAAUGGUCAGGACAAUGGGUAUCGACACCGAGAGGUGAAGGCAAUCUCUUAAACCUGUCCUUAGUUCGGAUUGUAGGCUGCAACUCGCCCACAUGAAGCUGGAAUCCGUAGUAAUCGCGUCUCAAAAUGGCGCGGUGAAUAU
rnacentral:rRNA from 1 species